rnacentral:RNase_P_RNA from 1 species
UAGAGAAUUGCAGACGAACGCUGUCUGUUUAUUUAUAAACAGAUGGAGGAAAGUCGGGACACUGCAGAGCAAGUCGGCUGUUAACCACAGCCUGGGGUGACUCAGAGAAAGUGCAACAGAAAGUAAACCGCCUUGAGCUAGCUUCUUGAGUUUAACUCAAGAAGCUGGUCGAAAGGUAAGGGUGAAACGGUAGUGUAAGAGACUACCAGCAUAGUUGGCAACAAUUAUGGCUUUGUAAACCUCGACUAGUGCAAGACAAAAUAAGGGGAUGUUUUAGAUUUAUUUCUAAACCGUAGCUGCUCGUUACGUAUAUCUUCGGGUAUGUCGCAUAGAAGAAUGUUCGUCUAUGGAGUUAAAUCCUAUACAGAAUCCUGCUUAUCGCAAUCUCUAGCCU